GAAAGGGAAACAGCCCAGAUCGUCGUCUAAGGUCCCCAAGCGUGUGCUAAGUGGGAAAGGAUGUGGAGUCGCAUAGACAGCCAGGAGGUUGGCUCAGAAGCAGCCACCCUUGAAAGAGUGCGUAACAGCUCACUGGUCUAGUGGUUCCGCGCCGACAAUGUAGCGGGGCUCAAGCACACCACCGAAGACGCGGCAGUAGCUUUGCUACUGGGUAGGAGAGCGUCCCAUGCGGGGCGAAGCGGCGGCGCAAGCCCGCCGUGGACUGCAUGGGAGUGAGAAUGCAGACAUGAGUAGCGAAAGACGGGUGAAGAUCCCGUCCGCUGGACGACCAAGGGUUCCAGGGCCACGUUCAUCGUCCCUGGGUGAGUCGGGUCCUAAGGCGAGGCCGACAGGCGUAGUCGAAUGGAUGAACGGGUCGAUAUUCCCGUACCGGCAUGCAACCGACAAAACCGAAUCCGCGAGUACUAACCUCCGGGUCCGGGCUUACGUCUCCUUCGGGAGCCGGAUGCCCUGGCCUGUUGGGACCGUAACGGUAGUAGGUCAGCGCGGGAGUGACGCAGAAGGGUAGCCGGCCGCGGAGGUGGUCUUCCGUGGUCAAGCACGCAGCCCGUCCCACAGGCAAAUCCGUGGGGCGCGUGGGCGAGGUGCGAUGAUGGGCGCCGCAGGGCGCGAUAUCCGGUGAUCCCGGCUGCCGAGAAAAGCUUCGGCGUGAGGCGGCGUGCCGCCCGUACCCCAAACCGACACUGGUGGUCAGGUAGAGAAUACCAAAGCGAUCGAGCGAAUCCUGGUCAAGGAACUCGGCAAAUCACUCCCGUUCCUUCGGUUUAAGGGAGACCCCCGAUGGUGAAGCGGCUUGCCCGUGGAGCUUUUGGGGGUGGCACAGACCAGGGGGUAGCGACUGUUUACCAAAAACACAGGAGCGUGCGAAGGCGCAAGCCGCUGUAUACGCUCUGACGCCUGCCCGGUGCCGGAAGGUUAAGAGGAUCCGUCAGGCUUCGGCCGAAGCGGUGAAUUCAAGCCCCGGUAAACGGCGGUGGUAACUAUAACCAUCCUAAGGUAGCGAAAUUCCUUGUCGGGUAAGUUCCGACCUGCACGAAUGGCGUAACGACUUCCCCACUGUCUCGACCAGGAGCUCGGCGAAAUUGCAGUACGAGUAAAGAUGCUCGUUAAGCGCAGAAGGACGAAAAGACCCCGGGACCUUUACUAUACCUUGGUAUUGGCAUUCGGUGUGGAUUGUGUAGCAUAGGCGGAAGGCUUCGAAGCCACGGCGCCAGCCGCGGUGGAGCCGCAAGGUGAAAUACCGCUCUGUUCGCAUUGGAUGUCUAACCUCGACCAGUCAUCCUGGUCAGGGACAGUGCCUGGCGGGUAGUUUAACUGGGGCGGUUGCCUCCCAAAGAGUAACGGAGGCGCUCAAAGGUUCCCUCAGCCCGGUUGGCAAUCGGGUGGCGAGUGUAAGUGCACAAGGGAGCUUGACUGCGAGACUGACGGGUCGAGCAGGGACGAAAGUCGGAACUAGUGAUCCGGUGCCGGUGUACGGACGCGGCAUCGCUCAACGGAUAAAAGGUACCCCGGGGAUAACAGGCUGAUCAUUCCCAAGAGUCCAUAUCGACGGGAUGGUUUGGCACCUCGAUGUCGGCUC
rnacentral:rRNA from 1 species